rnacentral:rRNA from 1 species
GUCUAUGGCCACGCCACCCUGAACAAGCCCGAUCUCAUCUGAUCUCAGAAGCUAAGCAGGGUCGGGCCUGGUUAGUACUUGGAUGGGAGACCACCUAGGAAGACCAGGUGCUGUAGGCG